rnacentral:rRNA from 1 species
UACGGAGGGUGCAAGCGUUGUUCGGAUUCAUUGGGCGUAAAGGGUGCGUAGGCGGCGCGGUAAGUCGGGUGUGAAAUCUUGGAGCUUAACUCCGAAACUGCAUUCGAUACUGCCGUGCUUGAGGACUGGAGAGGAGACUGGAAUUUACGGUGUAGCGGUGGAAUGCGCAGAUAUCAGGAGGAACACCGGUGGCGAAGGCGGUUCUCUGGGCAUUACCUGACGCUGAGGAGCGAAAGUGUGGGGAGCGAACAGG